rnacentral:rRNA from 1 species
GAUGAACGCUGGCGGCGUGCCUAAUACAUGCAAGUCGAGCGAACAGACGAGGAGCUUGCUCCUCUGACGUUAGCGGCGGACGGGUGAGUAACACGUGGAUAACCUACCUAUAAGACUGGGAUAACUUCGGGAAACCGGAGCUAAUACCGGAUAAUAUAUUGAACCGCAUGGUUCGAUAGUGAAAGACGGUUUUGCUGUCACUUAUAGAUGGAUCCGCGCCGCAUUAGCUAGUUGGUAAGGUAACGGCUUACCAAGGCAACGAUGCGUAGCCGACCUGAGAGGGUGAUCGGCCACACUGGAACUGAGACACGGUCCAGACUCCUACGGGAGGCAGCAGUAGGGAAUCUUCCGCAAUGGGCGAAAGCCUGACGGAGCAACGCCGCGUGAGUGAUGAAGGUCUUCGGAUCGUAAAACUCUGUUAUUAGGGAAGAACAAAUGUGUAAGUAACUAUGCACGUCUUGACGGUACCUAAUCAGAAAGCCACGGCUAACUACGUG